rnacentral:misc_RNA from 1 species
CCCGCAGCCGGCGCAGGAUGAGAUAGAGCACGCCGGUCAGUGCCAGCGCGGACGCCGUUGCAAUCAGCCGAUCGACCGGAACGACGACGUCGAACAGCGAGAUAGAUCCCAUUGGCGGCGUCAGCGUCAGCUUCCGGUAAUCAGCCUUGAAAUAGUAGAUCAUCGCAUUGUUGAGAAUCAGAUCGAGACCGAAGGUCAGCGUCAGCGUCACCAGCACCGGAGCGGUGAUGACACGGUUGAGAAUAANNNNNNNNNNNNCUGAAUGACGUAGCCGAACGCGAAGAAUAACGGCGCCGCGAUCGCCAGUGCGUACCACGGCGAGAU